AGAGUUUGAUCAUGGCUCAGAUUGAACGCUGGCGGAAUGCUUUACACAUGCAAGUCGAACGGCAGCACGGGGCAACCUGGUGGCGAGUGGCGAACGGGUGAGUAAUACAUCGGAACGUGCCCAAUCGUGGGGGAUAACGUAGCGAAAGUUACGCUAAUACCGCAUACGAUCUACGGAUGAAAGCGGGGGAUCGCAAGACCUCGCGCGAGUGGAGCGGCCGAUGUCAGAUUAGGUAGUUGGUGGGUAAAGGCUCACCAAGCCAACGAUCUGUAGCUGGUCUGAGAGGACGACCAGCCACACUGGAACUGAGACACGGUCCAGACUCCUACGGGAGGCAGCAGUGGGGAAUUUUGGACAAUGGGCGCAAGCCUGAUCCAGCCAUUCCGCGUGCAGGAUGAAGGCCUUCGGGUUGUAAACUGCUUUUGUACGGAACGAAACGGCGAGCUCUAAUACAGUUUGCUAAUGACGGUACCGUAAGAAUAAGCACCGGCUAACUACGUG
rnacentral:rRNA from 1 species